rnacentral:rRNA from 1 species
GGACGACCAGCCACACUGGAACUGAGACACGGUCCAGACUCCUACGGGAGGCAGCAGUGGGGAAUUUUGGACAAUGGGCGAAAGCCUGAUCCAGCCAUUCCGCGUGCAGGAUGAAGGCCCUCGGGUUGUAAACUGCUUUUGUACAGAACGAAAAGGUUUCUACUAAUACUAGGAGCUCAUGACGGUACUGUAAGAAUAAGCACCGGCUAACUACGUGCCAGCAGCCGCGGUAAUACGUAGGGUGCAAGCGUUAAUCGGAAUUACUGGGCGUAAAGCGUGCGCAGGCGGUUAUAUAAGUCAGAUGUGAAAUCCCCGGGCUCAACCUGGGAACUGCAUUUGAGACUGUAUAGCUAGAGUACGGCAGAGGGGGAUGGAAUUCCGCGUGUAGCAGUGAAAUGCGUAGAUAUGCGGAGGAACACCGAUGGCGAAGGCAAUCCCCUGGGCCUGUACUGACGCUCAUGCACGAAAGCGUGGGGAGCAAACAGGAUUAGAUACCCUGGUAGUCCACGCCCUAAACGAUGUCAACUGGUUGUUGGGUCUUAACUGACUCAGUAACGAAGCUAACGCGUGAAGUUGACCGCCU